rnacentral:lncRNA from 1 species
CUGUCUCUAAGAUCCUGAGAAAUGCGAAAAUGGCUAAGUGAGGAAAGGAAAAUAGAGGCACGGGGAAAACGAUGAAGGCAGAGAGGUGUACCUCAGGGACGGCGGUAAGAGUAACCAUGGAAUUGGUUUGGAAUCUAAAGUGAUUAGCAAGUGAAUCUCCAAUGGUUGCUGGAGAUCUUUGAUGGUCGUCGGGAAUCGUCGAGGGUCGCCUUUCGCUCGAAAGAAAGAGGAAGUAAGGUGUGGCGGUGCGAGAAGAUGAACCGGUGGGGAAGAAGAAGAUGAUGCCUAUAAAUUUAUAAUCUCACCCGAGAGGGUAAAUGCGGUAUCUCAUCCGCCGCCUGCACGAAACCCGAAGAGCUGUUACCCCCAGACACUUUUUUAGGCAAUCAUGACUGAGGAGAUUUCGGAACAGAAAAUAUUUUGUUACUUGGUGAUUGGUAAAUAUCGACGUUUUCCCAGGGAAAGUGAAAAUCAUGGUUGAGAUAAUUUCGGAGCAAAAGAUAUGUUUCACUCUGAAACUGGGGGGCAUGUGUUGACACCAUUUUUUUGACAUACGUCAAAGUUGGCGUCAAAAGGGGGCAGAGAUGCCGAUGCAUGGUGGAAAGACAACGGCUAGUAGAUCGGCCGAUGGGGUUGUAGAGGGCGUAAAGUUAUAAGAGAUCGGCCAAUGAUGAUGAAAGCUUUGCCGAUAGAGAAAGACAGAGGCCUAGCUGAUGGGAUCACAAGGGUGCAGCCGAUGGAGGAUGAUAGGGGUAUAGCCGAUGGAGUCAGCCGAUGCGAACAGAAGGAUUCCAGCCGAUUGGAAAUGUCAAAGGUUCAGCCGAUGAAGAGCAGGUUUUGGCUAAUAGAGGCCAAGUUCGUUUCUGACUCCUGUACGAGUCGUUUUUUUUAUUUUGUUUCUUUAGAGAUAGAUCUUAUGUUUUGUCGUAAUCGACUAGGACUAGAAGUCUUGAUGUUU